AGUGAACGCUGGCGGCGUGCCUAAUACAUGCAAGUCGAACGAUGAAGUCCUAGCUUGCUAGGAUGGAUUAGUGGCGCACGGGUGAGUAAUAUAUAGUUAAUCUGCCCUACACAGAGGAACAACAGUUGGAAACGACUGCUAAUACCUCAUACUCCUAUUUGACAUAAGUUAAAUAGGGAAAGUCUUUUCGGUGUAGGAUGAGACUAUAUCGUAUCAGCUAGUUGGUAAGGUAAUGGCUUACCAAGGCUAUGACGCGUAACUGGUCUGAGAGGAUGAUCAGUCAAAAUGGAAAAGAGAACCGCGCCAAAACACCACCGGGAGGAGGCAGAAGGGAAUAUGGAGAAAGGGGGAAACCCCGAAAGAACCACCCCGGGGGGAAGAAGAACAUUUUUGGGGGAUAAACUUCUUUUUAACAGAAAAAAAAAAGGAGGGUACCUAAUAAAAAAGCCCCGGCAACCCCCGUC
rnacentral:rRNA from 1 species